rnacentral:rRNA from 1 species
AGAGUUUGAUCCUGGCUCAGGAUGAACGCUGGCGGCGUGCUUAACACAUGCAAGUCGAACGAUGAAGCUGGAACUUGUUCUGGUGGAUUAGUGGCGAACGGGUGAGUAACACGUGAGCAACCUGCCCAAGACUUUCGGGAUAAGCCUGGGAAACUGGGUCUAAUACUGGAUAUGACCUUUCAUCGCAUGGUGUUUGGUGGAAAGAUUUUUUGGUUUUGGAUGGGCUCGCGGCCUAUCAGCUUGUUGGUGAGGUAAUGGCUUACCAAGGCUUCGACGGGUAACCGGCCUGAGAGGGUGACCGGUCACACUGGGACUGAGACACGGCCCAGACUCCUACGGGAGGCAGCAGUGGGGAAUAUUGCACAAUGGGCGAAAGCCUGAUGCAGCGACGCCGCGUGAAGGAUGACGGCCUUCGGGUUGUAAACCUCUUUCAGUCAGGAACAAGCCUUCGGGUGAGGGUACUGGCAGAAGAAGCACCGGCUAACUACGUGCCAGCAGCCGCGGUAAUACGUAGGGUGCGAGCGUUAUCCGGAAUUAUUGGGCGUAAAGAGCUUGUAGGCGGUUUGUCGCGUCUGCUGUGAAAGCCCGGGGCUUAACUCGGGGUCUGCAGUGGGUACGGGCAGGCUAGAGUGAUGUAGGGGUAACUGGAAUUCCUGGUGUAGCGGUGGAAUGCGCAGAUAUCAGGAAGAACACCGAUGGCG